rnacentral:rRNA from 1 species
CAGCAGCCGCGGUAAUACGAAGGGUGCAAGCGUUAAUCGGAAUUACUGGGCGUAAAGCGUGCGUAGGCGGUUUGUUAAGUCUGCUGUGAAAUCCCCGGGCUCAACCUGGGAAUGGCAGUGGAUACUGGCAAGCUAGAGUGUGUCGGAGGAUGGUGGAAUUCCCGGUGUAGCGGUGAAAUGCGUAGAGAUCGGGAGGAACAUCAGUGGCGAAGGCGGCCAUCUGGGACAACACUGACGCUGAGGCACGAAAGCGUGGGGAGCAAACAGGAUUAGAUACCCCCGUAGUCCCUGUCUCUUAUAC